rnacentral:lncRNA from 1 species
CAGCCAUAAACCUUUGGGAAAUCCUGCCAUCUGCAGCCACAUGAAGAAAUCUGAAGAACAAGAGGCUGCUGGGGAAGUGGAGGCAGUCUCGGAAGGAAUCAGUGAUGGGUACAAAGUUACUCUCAGAUGAUAGUGAUCAAUUCUGGCCUUCUAUUCCACAGCAGCGUGACUAGCCUUAACACAAAUGUAUCAUAUAUUUCAAAGUAGCUGGAAGGAAAGAUUCUGAAUGUUGUUACCAAAAAUAAUAACUAUAUGAGAUGAAGAGAUGCUAAAUAACCUGAUUUUAUCAUUAUUCAACAUAUACAUGUAUGAAAACCUUCCUUGUACCUUCUAAUUGUAUACAUUUAGUAUAUGACAAAUAGUGUUUUAGGAAGUAUAAAGAAACAAUGCCAAAAUUUAUGUGGAAAUGUGAAACACCCUGAAUUUCCAAAGCUAUUCUGAGAAAUACAAACCAUACGGGAUGCAUCACAUUCCCUGAGUUCUAAUUAAAUGAAAAUCCGUAGUUAACAAACCCAUAUGUUACUGGCAUAGACAGAGAAACACAGACCAGUGAGCAAAAUGAAUGUGCUCAAUAAUAAACAAAAAUUUAUAUGGAAUGAACACAUUUUUCAAAACACCACCAAAAUGACACAACAGGGAAGACUUCCGAAACUAGAUAUCCAUAUGCAAAAGGGUAAUACAGGACCCUUAUGGUACUAGAUACACAAUAAUCAACUCAAAAUGAUUAAAGAUUAUACACAAAACUUGCAACCAUAAAGCUCCUAUAAAGACAACCUCGGGUGUGCGUAUAUUUAGAGCAACUUGGAUGUAUGCUCAGGGUUCACAAAAAGUAAACAAAAAUACAAGGGAAAAAAAUUAUUGACAAGGGACUGCUUUGGUAGUGAUUUUGUUUUUUCUUGAUUAGUAACCAACAGCACAGCCACCAAGAAAUUAUGCACAUGUGGGACCACGUCAAGCUGAAGCAUUUGUGACCAACAAAGGAAACAAUAAACAAAAUAAAAAGGCACACUAAAAAUUACAAGUUUGGGAUAAGGGAUUAUUUUUGAAAAGGUACAAGCCAGUCAUACUACCAGCUGGCAAAAAAAUAACAAAACAACAGAACAAUUGCCAGACAAAAACUGGGCAAAUAACCGGAUUAGAUAUUUUUCCAAAGAAGACAGGAAACUGACCGAAUGUCUACAAAAACGUGGUUAACAUUACUACUCAUGAGAAAAAUGCAGAUCAAAACCACACUCAGAUCUUAUCUCACUCCAAUAGAAUGAACAUUACAAAAAGAUCAAAAUAUUUAAAAAGACAAUUCCUGGUAUGAAUUGCCAGAAAGGGGAACUGUUUGUGCAAACAUAAAUUAGUAUUAACACUAUAAAAAACAGUUAGAGGUCUUGCAAAGAAUAGGAAAAAAAGAAAUACCAUUCCAUCUAGCAGUCCCAUUACUGGGUGUAAAUUCAACCUACCUGUUCAUCCACAGAUAAAGAGAUCAAGAAACUCUCAUAUACAUACACUAGGAAAUAUUCUUCAGCCAUCAAAAUAAUGAAACAGUCCCAUUUAGAGCAACGCAGAUGAACCUGGAAAACAUUAUGUUAAAUGUAAGGAGCUAGGCCUAGAAAAACACUGCAUGAUACCACUCAUGUGAAAUCUUAAGAUGUUUAUCUUAAUGAAGUAAAAAGCACAAUAUUGGUUACCAGAGUUUGGGAGAUAGAGGGGGAAUGGGGAAGGAUUGAUUAUGGAAACAAAGUUAUCUUAACAUUAAAGGAACAAAUCUGAGGUUCUCCUCCUCAGCCUGGUGACUGGAGUUAACAAUAUCAUAUUUU